CCCCGAAGAGAGCUACAUUCCCAAGGCCUUUAUCCGACCGUCCAGACUGAUGCUGGCCCGCUCGCGGAAGAAGAACGACCGCGAGCGAGUCUGGCUGCAAGCGCUUCCCUUUCAACAAUUUCACGUGCUUUUUGACUCUCUUUCCAAAGUGCUUUUCA
rnacentral:rRNA from 1 species